rnacentral:lncRNA from 10 species
UUUGAUUAAUAUUGAUGUUGAGCCUUUUUAAUGUUUAUUGACUGCUUGUAACAUAAAAAUCAGAAAGUAAAAACACAUAGGAAAAGUAACAUCAGUAGGAUCACAGAAUGGGUGGAUCCCACUUGUAUACCCUCUCAGGGUAACAACAUUUGUCAGUCAUCCCUGGGCAAGUUUUUUAUGUGAGCUUUGGGAUACAGGUUGUCAGAUAGAGGUUGUCAAUCUCUGUUAGAGCCCAAGACCUAGAAAAGCUAUUUUAAGAAGGCCUUCAUUCACAUGGCAAACUGAAAAGCGCAUGGUUCAAGUUAAAGACCAGGAAAUUGCCCACUCAACUUAGUCCCACUAAGAAUUCUAAUGUGAUCUUGUAACUCCCUCCAAUUUUUCCCAGUCACUAUCUGGAAGUAGUCCUUCUCAUCAAUAGAUUUGAAGUUACAUAUGUCCUUUUACAGCCAUGUAGGCAUGGAAAAAGCUUACAGACAUUAGUUUUAACUGCGGUACCUAAAGCAGUUUGUGACUCAGUUCUAGCUCUCUCAGCUACAGUCCACAGUUAAUAAUUUCUGCAUAAAACCCACAAAGUGACUGAUGAAAAUUCUUUCAUGUAUUAAUUGAGAGCCACAUCCAUUUACCCUAGUGUCUUCUCUACUUAUAAAAGUCCUGAGAGCAAUAUAGUUUUUUAAGACACCAAGGAGAUAUACAUCUAUGCAAGUCCUUUAGUUACAUGACAACCAAAGGCCAACCCCACUGCAGAUUCAGCAGCGGCUUAGUAACACAACUACAACCUCUCUCCAUUGCAAUCCAAUGGGAGAUUCAGUUAUCCCAGGAAUCCAUAACUAGGCAAAACAAUGUUUAAAAACCUAACAUCCAAAUUGGAAAGUGAAAGUAGAAAGCAAUCACAUUUAUAACAGUAUAAAAAUAUUAAGUUGGUGCAAAAGUGAUUGUGUUUUUUGCCAUUAAAAGUGCAAAAGUGGUGAAAAUCACAAUUACUUUCGUACCCAUCUAACAGUAAAUGUUAUCAAUGCAUUUAACUAGAAGAUAAAAUAUAUUAAGAUAUUAAUUGAAGAAGACACAAAUGACUAAAAAGAUAUACCAUGUUUUUAGAUUUGAAGAAUAUUUUUAAAAUGAAAUAUUAUCCUGAAUGAUUUAUAGAUUUAAUGCACCAUCUAUAAAUAUUUCAAUGAUAUUUUUACAGUAAUAGAAAACACAAUUCUAAAAUUUGUAUAAAAACUACAAAAGACUUUAAAUAACCAAUGAAAUUUUAAGAAAAAGCUAAGACUAGAGCAUCAUAGUUUCCAAUUCAAAACUAUAUUUCAAGGCUAAGUUAUAUAAAAAUGUGCAUAAAAACUGACACAAAAUUAAUGGCACAGAAUAAAGAGUCUCAGAAUAAAUUAAUGUAUAUAAGACCAACUAAUCUUUAAUGAGGAUCCCAAUAAUAAUAAUGCAGAAUGUAUGGUCUUUUUGAACUUGAUACUGAGUAAACUAUAUACCCACAAUCAAUCAAUCAAUCAAUCAAUCAAUCAAUAUAUUUUUAUGUCAUACCACCCUAAAAUAAUUUGCAAUAAAAUGAAGUCAUAAUAUAUAAAACCCUGAAAAUCUUAGGGAAACUCACACCCUAAAGGGAAGGGCAAUAGACUGGCAGGCUUCAGUACCAACUAAUUUAGAUCCUUAGGUUCGUGAAUGGAUAUAGGUAGUAUACAGACAGUUGUUAUAGUGGUUCUUGGGCAAUACUCAGUACAGUGCUGCCUUCAGGUGUAAUCAGGGUUGUCUCAGCUGUGGUAGCCACAGUGGUGGUUGUAUCAUCUUUCCUCCAGCUCCAUGAAGCUCAACACGGAAAGAGAUAGUGUUGCCAUAUCCUUACUCUUUAGUUUAGCAAGGUCUAAGUUCUUGCCAUAUAAUCAAGAAGAAUAAGACAUGCGCAUACCAGAGAAUGCAAAACAAAAUUGUACUAAGCAACAGAAAAGCUCUCAGCAGCUAGAAGGGAUGUGAAAAGCGUUGCCAGAAAUGUGAUUGUGUUCUGGAUCUUAUUUGUGGCAAAAACAAGCAGGCUUCUGUGGGUUUCACAAAAAUGGGAGGGGUAAAGUUCCCUGCUCUGACCCAGGGAUGUUGCAUCUGCACAUGCCUAAGGUUAGCCAUAGUGACUCCAUCUGGGUUAUUACCCAUGAGUGUCUAAGCAAAACCCAUGGUGUGGGGGUGGGUGUGGCAAAACGACAAUGCUAAAGAUAUUACAAUCAGGUCUGGAUGAAUGUAUGGACAUUUUGUUGAUUUAUUGCACCUGCACCUAAGUUGAGUCAGUAAUUUCUGAGCAGACAUCCUGGUGUAAAAUGAAAUUCUUAACCACAUUUCUUCCCUCAAGCUACGGGGGAAGUGCAGAUGUAGUCCCAUGGGGGUUUUUUUCUUUCCCAAGACCCCUUCUCUCUAUCUUCCUAGAUAGCCUCUCACUUCCUUUUCUCUCAAUAGCCAGUUUAUUUGGGAGAAAAUAAGGAAGAAUAUCAAGAGUGUCUGCUUGAUAAUUUAGAUAAUUCUUUCAGAUAAAUCAAACACCUCCAAGGCAGAACCACUGUGUCUCCAAAACCACACUGUUACUGGGCUAGUGGUGUCUCAUAUUGCAGGUACAGCUUCAGUGACCAAAAGCUUGGAUCACAACAUUGAAGUUUCUUUAAAUAUUAUGAUUACAGUGUGGUAGGAACAAUAUAUGGCCAUUGAAACUAUUGAGUUAUAUCUGCCCUAUGGUAAAUAGCAAUGUGGCAGGGGCAACACACAGACACACACAAGACGUCAAUGUACCCUGUUAUAAUUGCUCUGUUUUGUAUAUAUAAGCAGAUGAGCCUACAUCUCUCCUAAGAAUAUAUUGUAAUUUUAGGCUGAAAUUUGAAUUUAAAUAAAAUGUUUAUGAGAACCAAAUAAUUUUUACAUCUUUUCAUGGUUAAUAGUGUAGAAAAUAUUCUUAGUUUAUUCUUCAUAUUAAAAAACUGGUGGGUAAUUUGGUUAUAUCUCAAAGCCACAUCUUUUACAGAUUAAUGAAAUGCAGACCUAAACAGUGAUGGCUAUUCAUUACUGUCAUAACAGAAGAUUUCUUAAGCCUUCCUACUUUGUGCUGUUCAGAAAAUGAGGUAAGUUUCUGUGUUUUAUCUUGUAUUUGAGAAUUUGAAACCUUCUUGUUGCCUCAUUUAAAGUAACAGUUUCACUUGCCAUUUGCUUAAAAAAUAAUAAUUGUCUGCAUUUAGAAUAGAAAUACCUAUAUUGUGGUUCAGUUGUUUUUCUCAAAAAACUAUAUUUUUCUCUCUAUAAGCUUGCACAGCUAUUAAGUGUAUAAUCGUAUCUUCCUACUCCUACCUCUCCUAGUAGUAUACAUGAAGUAAAAUAACCUCUUUGUCUAGGGAUUCGAACCCACUCAAUAACUGGUCCCUCUCAUCUGGUCUUUUGGGCCAGCAUGCACAGAAGACAUUUUACCUGGAUUAGGGUACAGAAGCAUUUGUGAAGACAAUGUGUUUUUAGCCAGUGUUUGAAAAACCAGAGAGAGCAGGCACCCUGUGCUUGUAAAUGUAUGAAAAACUGCAACAGCCAAAGCUUUAUCUUCCCAUAUUGAUGAGAUCCCUUGUAUCAUCUGACCUCCAAAGCAGAGUAGCAACCUGCAUACUUGAUGUUCUGGAUGCUUAGAAUAUUUUUGAAACAAUUUCCAAAUGCAUAAUAUACUUAUGAAUAACGUGGAUUCUUCCAGUAAUCUUCCUACAAAGAUUUUUCCACUUUCCUGGCAGAUGUUAUGGCUAAUCUGGUUAGAACUUUUCUUUUUUGAAUGUGAAAUGUUUAGUAUUCAUUUUUCUGGGUACCAAUCACUGACUAUUAUCAUUCUUGCCCACAUUCAGAUCUAAGAUUGCUGUUCUCAAGCUCCCCCCAAUGAAGUCUUUGUCUCCACAGGACCUAGGUUGUUUUUGCAAUGAAUGAAAUUAUCUCCCAAUUAAAAAAGAGGCAUUGGUUGAACAAUGCUCUAUUGAAUUUUGUAAAUCAUUUUACAAACUGCAUGUGCACACAAGGCUCCAUGACAAUGAAUUGCCUUAAUCCAUGGUUGCAUAUUCAUCUCUAGUACUCUCAGAAAAGCAAAAUGGACUUUUAACAUGUAGUCCUCUGGCAUAGUGAAGAAAUUAGGUAAUGAAUUUGUUCAUGAAACACUUUAAGUUUAACAGGCGUCUAACUCAUAUUUUAUAUACAGAAUAUCAGUCUUGAAAAUAAUAUCAAAUGACCAUCUACUAUAAGCAUUGAAUAUACUUUACAUUUAUUGGGGAAAGUACCCUCAAUAUUUUCUUAUAAAAUGUAAACUUAAGAUGUUCUCAAAGGUUUGGCAAAAUGCAUACCAGAGAAAGUUAUUGUUACCAUAUGAGAUGUGGAGCAACAUGAGUGCUUUUGCUCUUAAGAAUUUCUAUCUGGACAAGAUGAGGAGGAACAGAGUGUUAUACUGAAA